GAUGAACGCUGGCGGCGUGCCUAAUACAUGCAAGUCGAGCGAACGGACGAGAAGCUUGCUUCUCUGAUGUUAGCGGCGGACGGGUGAGUAACACGUGGAUAACCUACCUAUAAGACUGGGAUAACUUCGGGAAACCGGAGCUAAUACCGGAUGAUAUUUUGAACCGCAUGGUUCAAAAGUGAAAGACGGUCUUGCUGUCACUUAUAGAUGGAUCCGCGCUGCAUUAGCUAGUUGGUAAGGUAACGGCUUACCAAGGCAACGAUGCAUAGCCGACCUGAGAGGGUGAUCGGCCACACUGGAACUGAGACACGGUCCAGACUCCUACGGGAGGCAGCAGUAGGGAAUCGUCCGCAAUGGGCGAAAGCCUGACGGAGCAACGCCGCGUGAGUGAUUAAGUUCUUCGGAUCGUAAAACUCUGUUAUUAGGGAAGAACAUAUGUGUAAGUAACUGUGCACAUCUUGACGGUACCUAAUCAGAAAGCUACGGCUAACUACGUG
rnacentral:rRNA from 1 species